rnacentral:rRNA from 1 species
UAGGGAAUCUUCCACAAAUGGACGAAAGUCUGAUGGAGCAACGCCGCGUGAGUGGAGAAGGUUUUCGGAUCGUAAAGCUCUGUUGUUGGUGAAGAAGGAUAGAGGCAGUAACUGGUCUUUAUUUGACGGUAAUCAACCAGAAAGUCACGGCUAACUACGUGCCAC